GAGCGGCCCGCGUCUGAUUAGCUAGUUGGUGAGGUAAAGGCUCACCAAGGCGACGAUCAGUAGCUGGUCUGAGAGGAUGAUCAGCCACAUUGGGACUGAGACACGGCCCAAACUCCUACGGGAGGCAGCAGUGGGGAAUCUUGCGCAAUGGGCGAAAGCCUGACGCUGCCAUGCCGCGUGAAUGAUGAAGGUCUUAGGAUUGUAAAAUUCUUUCACCGGGGACGAUAAUGACGGUACCCGGAGAAGAAGCCCCGGCUAACUUCGUGCCAGCAGCCGCGGUAAUACGAAGGGGGCUAGCGUUGCUCGGAAUUACUGGGCGUAAAGGGAGCGUAGGCGGACAUUUAAGUCAGGGGUGAAAUCCCGGGGCUCAACCUCGGAAUUGCCUUUGAUACUGGGUGUCUUGAGUAUGAGAGAGGUGUGUGGAACUCCGAGUGUAGAGGUGAAAUUCGUAGAUAUUCGGAAGAACACCAGUGGCGAAGGCGACACACUGGCUCAUUACUGACGCUGAGGCUCGAAAGCGUGGGGAGCAAACAGGAUUAGAUACCCUGGUAGUCCACGCC
rnacentral:rRNA from 1 species